GCUUGCUUAAGUGGGUGGCGAGUGGCGGACGGGUGAGUAAUGCAUCGGGACCUACCCAGACGUGGGGGAUAACGUAGGGAAACUUACGCUAAUACCGCAUACGUCCUACGGGAGAAAGCAGGGGAUCUUCGGACCUUGCGCGGUUGGACGGACCGAUGUUCGAUUAGCUUGUUGGUGAGGUAAUGGCUCACCAAGGCCGCGAUCGAUAGCUGGUCUGAGAGGAUGAUCAGCCACACUGGGACUGAGACACGGCCCAGACUCCUACGGGAGGCAGCAGUGGGGAAUAUUGGACAAUGGGCGCAAGCCUGAUCCAGCAAUGCCGCGUGUGUGAAGAAGGCCUUCGGGUUGUAAAGCACUUUUAUCAGGAGCGAAAUACCACGGGUUAAUACCCUAUGGGGCUGACGGUACCUGAGGAAUAAGCACCGGCUAACUUCGUGCCAGCAGCCGCGGUAAUACGAAGGGUGCAAGCGUUAAUCGGAAUUACUGGGCGUAAAGCGUGCGUAGGCGGCUUGUUAAGUCUGCUGUGAAAUCCCCGGGCUCAACCUGGGAAUGGCAGUGGAUACUGGCAAGCUAGAGUGUGUCAGAGGGUGGUGGAAUUCCCGGUGUAGCGGUGAAAUGCGUAGAGAUCGGGAGGUACAUCAGUGGCGAAG
rnacentral:rRNA from 1 species